AGGGCCUACGGGGGGCAGCAGUGAGGAAUAUUGGUCAAUGGGCGAGAGCCUGAACCAGCCAAGUCGCGUGAGGGAGUACUGCCCUAUGGGUUGUAAACCUCUUUUGUCGGGGAGCAAAAGCCGGACGUGUCCGGCUGUGAGAGUACCCGAAGAAAAAGCAUCGGCUAACUCCGUGCCAGCAGCCGCGGUAAUACGGAGGAUGCGAGCGUUAUCCGGAUUCAUUGGGUUUAAAGGGUGCGUAGGUUGUUUUAUAAGUUAGCGGUGAAAUACCGAUGCUCAACAUCGGGGCUGCCGCUAAUACUGUA
rnacentral:rRNA from 1 species